rnacentral:rRNA from 1 species
GGACCAAUGGGCGGGAGCCUGAUCCAGCCAUGCCGCGUGCAGGAAGACGGUCCUAUGGAUUGUAAACUGCUUUUGUACGGGAAGAACAAGGGGCACGUGUGCCCCUCUGACGGUACCGUAAGAAUAAGGAUCGGCUAACUCCGUGCCAGCAGCCGCGGUAAUACGGAGGAUCCGAGCGUUAUCCGGAAUCAUUGGGUUUAAAGGGUCCGUAGGCGGGCCAUUAAGUCAGGGGUGAAAGUCUGCGGCUCAACCGUAGAAUUGCCCUUGAUACUGGUGGUCUUGAGUUAUGGUGAAGUAACUAGAAUAUGUAGUGUAGCGGUGAAAUGCAUAGAUAUUACAUAGAAUACCGAUUGCGAAGGCAGGUUACUAACCAUAUACUGACGCUGAUGGACGAAAGCGUGG